rnacentral:rRNA from 1 species
AACGAACGCUGGCGGCAGGCUUAACACAUGCAAGUCGAACGCGUGCAGCAAUGCACGAGUGGCGCACGGGUGAGUAACGCGUGGAUAUCUGCCUUUUGGUUCGGAAUAACCCCGGGAAACUGGGUCUAAUACCGGAUGCUUCCUACGGGAUAAAGAUUUCUCGCCAAAAGAUGAGUCCGCGUCCGAUUAGCUAGUGGGUGAGGUAAUGGCUCACCAAGGCGACGAUCGGUAGCUGGUCUGAGAGGACGAGCAGCCACACUGGGACUGAGACACGGCCCAGACUCCUACGGGAGGCAGCAGUGGGGAAUAUUGGACAAUGGGGGAAAGCCUGACGCAGCCAUGCCGCGUGAGUGAUGAAGGUCUUAGGGUUGUAAAGUUCUUUUGGCGGGGACGAUGAUGACGGUACCCGGAGAAGAAGCCCCGGCUAACUUCGUG